rnacentral:rRNA from 1 species
AAUGUUUCGGGCUCAACCUGAAAACCUGCCUUUGUGACUGCAGUUCUUGAGUAUGGCAGAGGCUAGUGGAAUUACAGGUGUAGCGGUGGAAUGCGUAGAUAUCUGUAAGAACACCAGAGGCGAAGGCGACUAGCUGGGCCAAUACUGACGCUGAGGCUCGAAAGUGUGGGGAGCAAACAGGAUUAGAUACCCUGGUAGUCCACACCGUAAACGAUGAACACUAGAUGUCGGGGGAGUUGUCCUUCGGUGUCGACGCAAACGCAAUAAGUGUUCCGCCUGGGGAGUACGCUCGCAAGGGUGAAACUCAAAGGAAUUGACGGGGGCCCGCACAAGCGGUGGAGCAUGUGGUUUAAUUCGAUGCAACGCGCAGAACCUUACCUGGACUUGACAUGGGAAUGACCGCAUGAGAGAUCGUGCUUUCUCUUCGGAGACAUUCCGCACAGGUGCUGCAUGGCUGUCGUCAGCUCGUGUCGUGAGACGUUCGGUUAAGUCCGGCAACGAGCGCAACCCUCGUCCUUAGUUGCCAUCAUUAAGUUGGGCACUCUAGGGAGACUGCCCGGGUCAACCGGGAGGAAGGUGGGGACGACGUCAAGUCCUCAUGGCCCUUACGUCCAGGGCUACACACGUGCUACAAUGGUCGGUACAAUGGGUUGCAAGAUCGCGAGAUGGAGCUAAUCCCCAAAGCCGACCUCAGUUCAGAUUGGAGUCUGCAACUCGACUCCAUGAAGCUGGAAUCGCUGGUAAUCGUGGAUCAGCAUGCCACGGUGAAUACGUUCCCGGGCCUUGUACACACCGCCCGUCAAGCCACGAAAGAAGAGAGCGCUCUAAGCCGCCGGUCCAACCGUAAGGAGGGCAGCGUCUAAAGCGAGAUCUUUGAUUGGGGCUAAGUCGUAACAAGGUAACCGUA